rnacentral:rRNA from 1 species
GACGAACGCUGGCGGCGUGCUUAACACAUGCAAGUCGAACGGAAAGGCCCUGCUUUUGUGGGGUGCUCGAGUGGCGAACGGGUGAGUAACACGUGAGUAACCUGCCCUUGACUUUGGGAUAACUUCAGGAAACUGGGGCUAAUACCGGAUAGUACCUCCUGCUGCAUGGUGGGGUUUGGAACUUUCGGGCGGUUGGGGAUGGACUCGCGGUUUAUCAGCUUGUUGGUGGGUUAGUGGCUUACCAAGGCUGGGACGGGUAGCCGGCCUGAGAGGGUGACCGGCCACAUUGGGACUGAGAUACGGCCCAGACUCCUACGGGAGGCAGCAGUGGGGAAUAUUGCACAAUGGGCGGAAGCCUGAUGCAGCAACGCCGCGUGCGGGAUGACGGCCUUCGGGUUGUAAACCGCUUUCACCAGGGACGAAGCGUGAGGGAAGGUAAUGUGUAAAGAAGCAACGGCUAACUACGUG